ACGCACGCUGGCGGCAUGCCUCACACAUGCAAGUCGAACGAGACCUUCGGGUCUAGUGGCGCACGGGUGCGUCACGCGUGGGAACCUGCCCUUAGGUUCGGAAUAACUCCCCGAAAGGGGUGCUAAUACCGGAUAAUGUCUUCGGACCAAAGAUUUAUCGCCUUUGGAUGGGCCCGCGUUGGAUUAGCUAGUUGGUAGGGUAAAAGCCUACCAAGGCGACGAUCCAUAGCUGGUCUGAGAGGAUGAUCAGCCACACUGGGACUGAGACACGGCCCAGACUCCUACGGGAGGCAGCAGUGGGGAAUAUUGGACAAUGGGCGAAAGCCUGAUCCAGCAAUGCCGCGUGAGUGAUGAAGGCCUUAGGGUUGUAAAGCUCUUUUACCCGGGAUGAUAAUGACAGUACCGGGAGAAUAAGCUCCGGCUAACUCCGUG
rnacentral:rRNA from 1 species